UACGAAGGGGGCGAGCGUUGUUCGGAAUCACUGGGCGUAAAGGGCGCGUAGGCGGCGCGUUAAGACAGGUGUGAAAGCCCCGAGCUUAACUUGGGAAUUGCGCUUGUGACUGGCGAGCUGGAGUGUGGCAGAGGGAGGUGGAAUUCCACGUGUAGCAGUGAAAUGCGUAGAGAUGUGGAGGAACACCGAUGGCGAAGGCAGCCUCCUGGGCCAGCACUGACGCUCAUGCACGAAAGCGUGGGGAGCAAACAGG
rnacentral:rRNA from 1 species